GAGAGUUAGGAGAUUUACUGCAGUGGCUGUUGGCUUUAUAUCAAAUGCUUCAAAACAAGACAAAACAAACAUCCCACAUCCAAGCAAGUUGCUAGGGGCGGGGCGUCUGUUUCUCGGCCCCGCCUCCCGGUUGCCAGCGUUGACGUCAGGUUCUCGGCCCCACUUCCAGGCUGCGAGGGGCAGGGCGUCUGUUUCCUGGCCCCGCCUCCCGGUUGCCAGGGUUGACGCCAGGUUCUCGGCCCCACCUCCAGGCUGCGAGGGGCGGGGCGUCGGUUUCUAGGCCAUGCCACUCGGUUGCUAGGGGCGCGACAUCGGUAUCUAGGCCCCGCCUCCAGGUUGCUAGGGGCGUGACAUCGGUAUAUAGGCCCCGCCUCCAGGUUGCUAGGGGCGGGGCGUCGGUUUCACAGACCUCACCCCCCAACCCACCGCAUUCCGUUCUUUCCGUUUAUGAACCCAGCUGACGGUUUCACGGUUCUCCUCCUCGCCACACUCGGGUUCCAUGGCAGCCGGCUCCGAGACGCCGAGUCUCCGCUGUCGGCCUCUGCUGCUCGUCCUGGCGGCGCUCGGCUUGGUGUGGGCGGCGGAGGGAAGGAGAUUGCACUUUGUCAAUCUGAGAUCCAUAGUUGCCUGGUACACACUGCCAGACAACAUUGAAGAGGCAUUUAGGCAGACACCUGACCAUGCAGCGAGUAGAGGGAUAUGGACCAAUUCAAGGCAGAUGGGAUCCAUUUAGAAUGGCGGCAUGUUCAGUGCAGAUAUCGUGGACCAAAGGGCUAGUUCCUGUGCUUUACUGUUCUAUGUUCUGGAUUGGUCUAGAUUCCUCAGUUGAAUGUUUUGGAGACUUUCUCCAUUUAAGAAAGAGUCUGCUUUUUGACUCUUCAUGCUAAAGUGCUUACCUCACACUUUCUUAAAUGAAAUUCAACCUCACUCAACCUAUCUAUAUCCCCCUGCAGAUUCUUAUGUUCUCAUCACAACACUCCCUUCCACCUAUUUUUGUGUCAUCAAAAAUUUGGAUUUGUUGCACACAACUCCUUCCUCCAAGUCAUUAAUAUGGAAAGUAAACAGUUGAGGCCCUUGGAUUGAUCCUUGUGGUAUUUCACUAGUUACAUAUUUCCAACCUGAAAAAGAGGCAUUAAUCCUGAUUCUGUCUACUGUGUCAACAAAUCCUCAAUCCAUUUUAAUACAUUACCAUGUUAAUACAGUUAAAACAUUGACAUCUACCCAAAAUUGCCCAGGUUUGUCUUGUACAAAACAAGUAGAACAAAUCCAACCCAACCAAUUACUGCCAUUUGCAAAGCGAUGGAAAGUGUCAUCAACAGUGCUACCAGUUUGGGUUCCAGCAGGGCCAAUCAGCUCCUCACCUUGGUUCAAACAAAGCCAAAAGAUUUGAAUUCUAGAUAUGAGGUGAGAUAGCCUUUGACAUCUAGGCCGCAUUUGACUGAGUCUGGUGUGAAGGAGCCUGUGCAAAACUGGAAUUAAUGGGAAGCAGGGGUAAAUUAUGUUCUAGUUGGAGUCAUACAUGGCACAUCGGAAGAUGGUUGUAGUUGUUGGAGGUCAGUCAUCUCAGCUCCAGGACAUCUCUGCAGGAGUUCCUCAGGGUAGUGUCCUAGGUCCAACCAUCUUCAGCUGCUUCAUCGUAAGGUUGGAAGUGGGGACGUUUGCUGGUGAUUGCACAAUGUCUAAUAACAUUCGCGACUCUUCAGAUACUGAAGCACUCCGUUUUCAAAUCAAACAAAAUCUGGACAACAUCCAUUGUUGCAAGUAAGCGCUUCACAAAUGCCAGGCUAUGAUCACAUCCAACAAGAGACAAUCUGACCACUGCCUCUUGACUUUCAAUGGUGUUACCAUAACUGAAACCCCCAUUGUCAACAUUCUUGGGGUUACCACUGGCCAUAAACUCAACUGAACUCGCCACAUAAACAGAGUAGCUACAAGAGUAUCUCAGAGGAUUGGAAUACUGCAACAAGAACUCACCUCCUGACUCCCCAAAGCCUGUCCACCAUCUACAAGGCACAAACCAGGAGUGUGAUGGAAUACUCCUCACUUGCCUGGAUGGGUGCAGCUCCAACAACAUGGAAGAAGCUUGACACCAUCCAGGACAAAGCAACCCACUUGAUUGUCACCACAUGCUCAAGGCACAUGCUCAAGCAUCCACUCCCUCCUCCACUGAGGCUUAGUAGCAGCAGUCCAUAUGUCCACAAGAUGCACUGCAGAAAUUCACCAAAAAUCCUGAGACAGCACCUUCCAAACCCAUGACCACUUCAAUCUAGAAGGACAAUGGCAGCAGUUAUAUUGGAAUACCACCACCUGCAAGUUCCCCUCCAAGACACACACCAUCCUGCCUUGAAAGUAUGUUGCCAUUCCUUCAUUGUUGUUGGGUCAAUUGUCUUCCAAAUGGCAUUGUGGCUCAACGUACAGUGCACGGACUGCAGUGAAUCAAGAAGAUAACUCGUCACCACCACCUCAAGGGUAACUAGGGACAGGCAAUAAAUGCUGGACAGCCAGCAACACCCAGGUCCGACGAAUGAAUAAAAAACGCCGAAUAUCAUGAGUUCCUAUCUUGUGGAAUAACCGUUUAUGUGGCACCUGAUCAAAUAGAGUUAUACAGCAUGGAAACAGACCCUUCAGUCCAACUCAUCCAUGCUGACAAGAUAUCCUAAAUUGAUCUAGUCCCAUUUGCCAGCAUUUGGCCCAUAUCCCUCUCAACCCUUUCUAUUAAUGUACCCAUACAAAAGCUUUUAAAAUGUUGUAAUCGUACUUGCCUCCACCACUUCCUCUGGCAGCUCGUUCCAUUAACACACCGCCCUCAGGUCCUUUUAAAUCUUUUCUCUCUCACCUUAAACCUAUGCCCUUUAGUUUUGUGGUUCUUUACCCUGCGAAUGAGACCUUUGCUAUUCACCCUAUCCAUACCCCUCAUGAUUUUAUAAGCAUUUAUAAGGUCACCCCUCACCCUCAGCCCCUGGUGCUCCAGGGAAGAAAGUCCCAGCCUAUUCAGUCUCUGCAUAUAGCUCUCAUCCUCCAAUCCCGGCAACAUCCUUGUAAAUCUUUUCUGAACCCUUUCAAUUUAAUAAUAUCUUUCAUAUAAGCAGGAAGACCUGAAUUGAACACAGUAUUCUGAAAAUGGCCUCACUAAUGUCCUGUACAGCUGUAACAUGAUAUCCCAACCCCUCUACUUAAUGCACCGACGAAUGAAGGCAAGCUUUCUGUAAAUCCCAAUACACUACAUUCACCAAUUCUCCUUCAUCUACUCUGCUUGGUAUAUCGUAAAAGAAUGCCAGCAUCUUUGUGAAAUAUGAUUUUCCCCUCACGGGACCAUGUUGACUCUGUUUGAUUUUAUUAAACUUUUCUAAAUCCA